GUUGAUGUCAUAGACCAGAAGCUCCUUCUUCCCGGUGAUGGAAUCACAGAAGCAAAAUCCAGCAGCGGUGGCAGGUGCAGCUGCGAGGUCAGCGGCCCCUGGCUUGCUGACUGGCGCCUGUGUGCCUGCCAGCUGUCAGAGGCGACCGUAGGGAGACGUAGGGAAGGCCAAGGAGGGAACAGCUGCUUCCCGCUUGGAAACUCACCCCCCGGGGGGCUGGGGUCCCCUGGCGAUGGACUGUUUCCUGGGCACGCUUGUCUCCUCUCUGAGUCUCCGUCUCCUCCUCUGAACAGCCCGCUUUCAGCUCUACAAGGCUCUUCAACUCUUUGGGUUUUUUUUCCCCAAAGCUCCUAUUUUCCACUUUAAGAGAAGGGAAAGAGUUCGAAUUUUACUCACAUCCAGAUCUGACUGGCAAAUGCUUAGCGAUCCCUCUUUCACCCUUCGAUCCUCUAUGGUGAACACGCUCGCGCAUAUUAAAAUGUAACUUUUGAGUUUCAGUGUUCUGCGCAAAUGCGGCAUUACCUUCCAGAUUAAGUCAUCUACCCCGGAUCUAACUUAGGGGGUAUAAAGAGCUUUCAUUUAAUUGCACGAUAGAUUUGCUUGCAAGAUGUCACAGGUAGGGAGACCCGUCUAGGAACAGCCUGGUGAAAUGGGGAGGGGGACGCAGGGGGACGGCGGCGACCACCCUCCGCGUCACAGCAGGUGUGGUCAGGACCUCCAUCCCUCCGGGUGGGCCCGUGGGCUGCAGGUCCGUGGCCUGCAAGGAGGGAAGAGCCUGGAGCCGCGCCGCCAUCCCCGCCAACAGGCAGCUCGCCCCCCGCACCGAGCCCGCCGUGUCCCGUCUCAGCCAUUUCAGAAGCAAACAGUGAGAUGGCUCGAGAUGGCAGAUCUGGUUUCCAACUCUACCUGCGCCCUCAGAAGGAAUCAUUUCCCUAGGAGUUCGUGCCUCUCGCAUUUCAAUUUUCCGCGGUUGAUAAAUCGCAUCCGUCCCUUUUAAUAGAUGAACUAAGCGGGGACGUGAGGCUGUCGGCUGCUUCAAGGGAAACGCAUAUGUGAAGUAACAGGGUGGCCUUUGAAGGGCGCUGACUGGUGUGUGGUGGCGAGUAUGCCCCUGUCACCAGGCAGGAGGAUUUGCUUAGAAAGACGGUCCAGGUGCUCAGGUGUGGAGCGAGGCUGUGUCAGCUUCAUGGGCAAGUGCCCCUUGCUGUCACCUUCUCUUACAAACCCUCGGCAGCGGCGGCACUGAUGCAAAGGUGUGUGCUUUGCAUCCCCAGGGAGUCAGAUAAAACAUCUCAUUCCAAUGGCCUAGGGUGACGUCCAAACACCCUACUGAUUUGUUGUUUUAAAUCGCCGUGGCGAAGAGGUAGGUGGCCGCGCGCUGUCUUUCAUGCACAGGGACGGAAAGCAGGCCGCCCGCCGGGUUUCUGAACGUGACGCCCCAACAUAUUCCUUUCAUCCCUGCUGGCGGUUCUUGGUUUAGAAGGAAGAAUGAAAUCUUGCAUGAACGACGAGCAGCCUCUCCCGUGUUUGUUAGCGGAGGCGGGAGUGAGGCCGAAGGAUAUCACUUUUAAGUGAAGUUUGUCGGGAGAGAAGGGGGGGCAGCCGGGACGCCGGCCACUGCUCCCACUCCUGCUCCUGCUCCAGCCGCAGGGCCGGGGCUCUGGGACCUGCCGCCUGCGUCCACACUCAGAGCACGUUUUGCCACCCUUGCUCCUGCCCUCGCUGAGUAUGAGCCAGAGAGGCCAGCUCUUCAAAGGGUCCUGCGUGGGUGCCGUGGGAAGCAACCCGGGGAAACAUCUUACAUAGAAGAUGUUGGAAUCUGCCAAAGUCGUCUUGGGUGAGGGGCCUUCCAGGCCAGCAAACAGAACCGAAGCUUUUAGGUAAAAUCUCCUCCUAGAGCCCCACAGUGAGGCCAUGGCCCCACCCUGAGAAGGGCGCUACCAGGAGGUCAGGGACAGGUGUGGUGUUUCCCCGCCAGGUGUCCCGGGCCCUGCAUCCGGGGCCACCCCGGUCCUUUGCUCAUCCGCUCACUCUGCAAACACGGUGGUUGGCCCUCCGCACGUGCGUGGUGCUGUCCCAGGCCCCGGGGACCCAGAGGAGGGAACCCAGAUGUGGCCUGGCCUCCAGUGCCGCAGGCAGGAGGGGAUGUACUCAUUCUGUGGGUGCAGAACCCAGGGCUGCCGGAGGGCAGGUGAGGUCCCAGGUCCCACCCCAGGGAAGAGCGCAGCUGGAAUUUGAGCCACGGUCUGACCCCAGAGCCUUUUUUUUUUCCGCUUUGCCUUAUUGCCUCCUGUUUGUAACGUCCAAAUACACACGAAAAUAUUUUGUAAAGCAUAGAGUGCAAUACUAGCUUAGUGGCUACUCAUCACGGACUUGCUGUCACCAAGCAGAAGGCUGAGGUGGGAGGAUGGCCCAUGCCCCUAGCCCCCAGUCACCUGGCAUGGGGUGUCCCUACCGGCCUGGAGGCUGAGCUGACUCCCGUCUCGCAGAGAGGUGCCUCCCUCUGCCCUUGCCUGGUCUUGGCUUCUUAAAGCAGCGUGCCUGAGGACUCGCUUGGGCUGGGGCGGGCUGCGGGGUGUGCGUGUGCAUGCGUGCACACACACGUGCGGGCUUGCUCCAGGUGUGGGUCUCAUAGUGUUUUUCUGCAGUGUUUGCUUCGCCUCUAAAUUCUCGGUCAUCCUUUACUCCCAGAAGAAGAAAUCCCCUCACUUUGUGCCUGCCGAGCAGAUGGUUACGAGUGUAGUUAAAACCCGCUGAGGCUUUCGUCACGUCCCCGAACGCCCAAGGCGGGGAGGUGCAGGGUGUGUGAAUGUGAAGUUAGAUGCUUUUAAGAAAGCAAGACUGCUAAUAAAAUAUUUUAUA
rnacentral:lncRNA from 1 species